rnacentral:rRNA from 1 species
GUCGUCAGCUCGUGUCGUGAGAUGUUGGGUUAAGUCCCGCAACGAGCGCAACCCUUGAUCUUAGUUGCCAUCAUUCAGUUGGGCACUCUAAGGUGACUGCCGGUGACAAACCGGAGGAAGGUGGGGAUGACGUCAAAUCAUCAUGCCCCUUAUGACCUGGGCUACACACGUGCUACAAUGGACGGUACAAAGAGCUGCAAGACCGCGAGGUGGAGCUAAUCUCAUAAAACCGUUCUCAGUUCGGAUUGUAGGCUGCAACUCGCCUACAUGAAGCUGGAAUCGCUAGUAAUCGCGGAUCAGCAUGCCGCGGUGAAUACGUUCCCGGGCCUUGUACACACCGCCCGUCACACCACGAGAGUUUGUAACACCCGAAGUCGGUGGGGUAACCUUUUGGAGCCAGCCGCCUAAGGUGGGACAGAUGAUUGGGGUGAAGUCGUAACAAGGUAGCCG